UUCGGGUUGUAAAGUACUUUCAGCAGUGAGGAAGGUGGUAGUGUUAAUAGCACUAUCAUUUGACGUUAGCUGCAGAAGAAGCACCGGCUAACUCCGUGCCAGCAGCCGCGGUAAUACGGAGGGUGCGAGCGUUAAUCGGAAUUACUGGGCGUAAAGCGCAUGCAGGUGGUUUGUUAAGUCAGAUGUGAAAGCCCGGGGCUCAACCUCGGAAUUGCAUUUGAAACUGGCAGACUAGAGUACUGUAGAGGGGGUAGAAUUUCAGGUGUAGCGGUGAAAUGCGUAGAGAUCUGAAGGAAUACCGGUGGCGAAGGCGGCCCCCUGGACAGAUACUGACACUCAGAUGCGAAAGCGUGGGGAGCAAACAGGAUUAGAUACCCUGGUAG
rnacentral:rRNA from 1 species